GACGAACGCUGGCGGCGUGCUUAACACAUGCAAGUCGAACGGAAAGGCCCCCACUUUUUUGGUGGAGGUGCUCGAGUGGCGAACGGGUGAGUAACACGUGGGUGAUCUGCCCUGCACUUCGGGAUAAGCUUGGGAAACUGGGUCUAAUACCGGAUAGGACCAUGGUUUAGUGUCUCAUGGUGGAAAAAUUAUUGUUUUGGUGCAGGAUGAGCCCGCGGCCUAUCAGCUUGUUGGUGGGGUAAUGGCCUACCAAGGCGUCGACGGGUAGCCGGCCUGAGAGGGUGGACGGCCACAUUGGGACUGAGAUACGGCCCAGACUCCUACGGGAGGCAGCAGUGGGGAAUAUUGCACAAUGGGCGCAAGCCUGAUGCAGCGACGCCGCGUGGGGGAUGACGGCCUUCGGGUUGUAAACUCCUUUCGUUAGGGACGAAGCCGCACCU
rnacentral:rRNA from 1 species